rnacentral:ribozyme from 1 species
UUCUGGACCAGUUCUGUAAAAGGGUUGGAUGCGACGCCUUUUGGAGGCUACUAUAGGCUCUCCUUCCCAACUCCUACUCAAUACGUCCACGUCGUGCAGAACGGUAACUUGUCGCCUUGAUCCAAGCUUGGGCACACGGGGAAACCCAACCCCUUGGGCGGAUGGGCGGCAAGGCUGAAUUGAGAUGU